CAACCUCAACUCAUAUGGGACUACCCCCUGAAUUUAAGCAUAUUAAUUAGGGGAGGAAAAGAAACUAACAAGGAUUUUCUUAGUAGCGGCGAGCGAAAAGAAAACAGUUCAGCACUAAGUCACUUUGUCUAUAUGGCAAAUGUGAGAUGCAGUGUAUGGAGCGUCAAUAUUCUAGUAUGAGAAAUUAAUGAUUUAAGUCCUUCUUAAAUGAGGCCAUUUACCCAUAGAGGGUGCCAGGCCCGUAUAACGUUAAUGAUUACUAGAUGAUGUUUCCAAAGAGUCGUGUUGCUUGAUAGUGCAGCACUAAGUGGGUGGUAAACUCCAUCUAAAACUAAAUAUAACCAUGAGACCGAUAGUAAACAAGUACCGUGAGGGAAAGUUGAAAAGAACUCUGAAUAGAGAGUUAAACAGUACGUGAAACUGCUUAGAGGUUAAGCCCGAUGAACCUGAAUAUCCGUUAUGGAAAAUUCAUCAUUAAAAUUGUAAUAUUUAAAUAAUAUUAUUAAAAUAAUGUGCAUUUUUUCCAUAUAGGACAUUGUAAUCUAUUAGCAUAUCCCAAAUUUAUCAUAAAAUAUAACUUAUAGUUUAUUCCAAUUAAAUUGCUUGCAUUUUAACACAGAAUAAAUGUUAUUAAUUUGAUAAAGUGCUGAUAGAUUUAUAUUAUUACAGAGCGUUAAUUUUUCGGAAUUAUAUAAUGGCAUAAUUAUCAUUGAUUUUUGUGUUUAUUAUAUGCUCUUGUAUGAUUAACAAUGCGAAAGAUUCAGGAUACCUUCGGGACCCGUCUUGAAACACGGACCAAGGAGUCUAACAUAUGUGCAAGUUAUUGGGAUGUAAACCUAAUAGCGUAAUUAACUUGACUAAUAAUGGGAUUAGUUUUUUAGCUAUUUAUAGCUAAUUAACACAAUCCCGGGGCGUUCUAUAUAGUUAUGUAUAAUGUAUAUUUAUAUUAUUUAUGCCUCUAACUGGAACGUACCUUGAGCAUAUAUGCUGUGACCCGAAAGAUGGUGAACUAUACUUGAUCAGGUUGAAGUCAGGGGAAACCCUGAUGGAAGACCGAAACAGUUCUGACGUGCAAAUCGAUUGUCAGAAUUGAGUAUAGGGGCGAAAGACCAAUCGAACCAUCUAGUAGCUGGUUCCUUCCGAAGUUUCCCUCAGGAUAGCUGGUGCAUUUUAAUAUUAUAUAAAAUAAUCUUAUCUGGUAAAGCGAAUGAUUAGAGGCCUUAGGGUCGAAACGAUCUUAACCUAUUCUCAAACUUUAAAUGGGUAAGAACCUUAACUUUCUUGAUAUGAAGUUCAAGGUUAUGAUAUAAUGUGCCCAGUGGGCCACUUUUGGUAAGCAGAACUGGCGCUGUGGAUGAACCAAACGUAAUGUUACGGUGCCCAAAUUAACAACUCAUGCAGAUACCAUGAAAGGCGUUGGUUGCUUAAAACAGCAGGACGGUGAUCAUGGAAGUCGAAAUCCGCUAAGGAGUGUGUAACAACUCACCUGCCGAAGCAACUAGCCCUUAAAAUGGAUGGCGCUUAAGUUGUGUAUAUUACCGCUAAAGUAGAUGAUUUAUAUUACUUGUGAUAUAAAUUUUGAAACUUUAGUGAGUAGGAAGGUACAAUGGUAUGCGUAGAAGUGUUUGGCGUAAGUGCAUGGAGCUGCCAUUGGUACAGAUCUUGGUGGUAGUAGCAAAUAAUCGAAUGAGACCUUGGAGGACUGAAGGCGUGGUUGUCACGUUAGUCAGGCGAAAGCCGAAAAUUCAAGUAAAACAAAAAUGUAUAUAACAAAGCGAAUAUAAUACACUUGAAUAAUUUUGAACGAAAGGGAAUGUUCCAAUUCCGUAACCUGUUGAGUAUCCGUUGUUAAAUAUGGGCCUCGUGCUCAUCCAACAGGAACGACCAUAAAGAAGCCGUCGAGAGAUAUCGGAAGAGUUUUCUUUUCUGUUUUAUAGCCGUACUACCAUGGAAGUCUUUCGCAGAGAGAUAUGGUAGAUGGGCUAGAAGAGCAUGACAUAUACUGUUGUGUCGAUAUUUUCUCCUCGGACCUUGAAAUUUAUGGUGGGGACACGCAAACUUCUCAACAGGCCGUACCAAUAUCCGCAGCUGGUCUCCAAGGUGAAGAGUCUCUAGUCGAUAGAAUAAUGUAGGUAAGGGAAGUCGGCAAAUUAGAUCCGUAACUUCGGGAUAAGGAUUUCUGAAGAUUGAGAUAGUCGGGCUUGAUUGGGAAACAAUAACAUGGUUUAUGUGCUUCUGGGUAAAUAGAGUUUCUAGCAUUUAUGUUAGUUACUUGUUCCCGGAUAGUUUAGUUACGUAGCCAAUUGUGGAACUUUCUUGCUAAAUUUUUAAGAAUACUAUUUGGGUUAAACCAAUUAGUUCUUAUCAAUUAUAACGAUUAUCAAUUAACAAUCAAUUCAGAACUGGCACGGACUUGGGGAAUCCGACUGUCUAAUUAAAACAAAGCAUUGUGAUGGCCCUAGCGGGUGUUGACACAAUGUGAUUUCUGCCCAGUGCUCUG